GCUUAUUCUCAGGGCGGGGUGCAAUUCCCCACCGGCGGUAAAUCAGCCCAGGCUGAAAGCCCGCGAGCGCUUCAGGCGACAGCCUGAAGGUCAGCAGAUCCGGUGUAAUUCCGGGGCCGACGGUUAAAGUCCGGAUGGGAGAGAGUAACG
rnacentral:ncRNA from 2 species